rnacentral:rRNA from 2 species
UUUUAGAAUUUAAUUUAAAGUCUAACCUGCCCACUGAAAAAAUUUAAAUGGCCGCAGUAUUUUAACUGUGCAAAGGUAGCAUAAUCAUUAGUCUUUUAAUUGAAGGCUGGAAUGAAUGGUUGAAUGAAAUAUUAACUGUUUCAUAUAAAUUUAUAAUAGAAUUUUAUUUUUUAGUUAAAAAGCUAAAAUUUAAUUAAAAGACGAGAAGACCCUAUAAAUCUUUAUACUUAAAUAAUUUUAAUUAUUUAGAUAAAUUAAAUUAUAUUUAUUUUAAGUAUUUUAUUGGGGUGAUAUUAAAAUUUAAUAAACUUUUAAUUUAAAUUAAACAUAAAUUAAUGAAUAAUUGAUCCAUAAAUUAUGAUUAAAAAAUUAAGUUACUUUAGGGAUAACAGCGUAAUUUUUUUAGAGAGUUCAUAUUGAUAAAAA